GCAUUUUCAAAGGCUCUUACGACAUUCGCAUCUACAUGAUGUUAGCAUGUUUAUUCUGUUUAUCCAGCAGCUAUGGCCAUACAGUGUUUCUUUUUCUCCUCCAAUUUAGUUUCAGAGGUCUGUGCGAAACCCAUUCGUGUUUUAAACCUAGCAGGAAGAAAUAACAGAUCAGCUUUUUUAUUUCUUUGUGGAAGUCAAUUGGGACAGAGCCUGCCUUUUAUAUGCUCUAUCUUCGUCACGGUAUGCUGUCGUUUGUGACCAUGCGAUGAACAUCUGUCAUAUAUCUUUAAUGUCUCCUAUGUCUGAAGAAGGAAUCAUACAGCACCAACCUCAAGUAGUUCGGCAGUUUCUUUGUGUAGAGCCAUUUCUACCUGGGAUCGCUCGUCCAUCGCGUCUGCAAACUCCUUCUGCAGUUGUUCCCAAUCACAAUCGCGAAGAGAGAGGGCCAAUUUCUCAUAUUCAUCGACUACUCCGUCCUCGGCUGCAUCCUGAGGAAUAUGUUCUGCACUAGCUUCAAGAUUUUGAGUAUUGGAGCUCGCAUCUGGAAUUUCUUUCUCGCGCACUGAAUUCACAGCAACAGGGCGGGGUAUCAGCGACGGUGAACUGCAAUGCCCAUUCGACAUGGUGAUAUCUCGAUAUCAAAAGCCCCUUGUUUUCAGUCUCGUGUACGAUGCGUCAAGAGUGGCUAGACUGAGCCACGCCGUUUAGGUACCAGUAGUAUCAAUGAGAGCUUAUGACUUCGUGUGCGUAACGUAUCCCCGGCUAAUUGUCGUCUUUUGAACCAUUGACAUGAUCUCCCAAUGUGACCUCGAGUAGUAGUUGUGCAUGCACGAGGCAGGAGUUUCCGUUACCGCUAGUGGUCGAACAAUACCGAUAGUGCAAACAGUGCAAACAUUCGUCUACCAUCAGGUGACAUCAUCUAGACUGUCCGAGUACCUCAAGGCAACUUCUUCAUCGACUUCGAGUCACCAAACAGAAUUUAAAAUGCACAGUUUGCGGGUUGGCUUCCUCUUGUUUCAUUUAUGGAUCUAGUUGGAGAUAGGUGGAUCUUUUUAAAUAUUAUAUAUGUUGAGCUACUGGCCGUCGCUUCUCCGCCCAAAUUAUGAACAUCUAGUACCCAUGAAAUAACAUCUGUGCUCAUUCUCGCCGUCAUUUCGAUCCGCAGCAGUUCCAGCCUGUUGAGGGAUAUUGGAGGGAGCAUGCGAGCUCGAUUAUUUGUUGGACAGUUGUUCAAUAACCUUUAGGGAAAUCUCCGGUUAUGAACUGCCACGUAUGUGAUCGUGGGCCUAACUCCCAACUUCACCUUCUGUGCCCGACGUGUACCCGUAACCAGCUUUAUCCUCUUCGCUUCGAUCACGCCAGGGUUUUAUUAGAAAAGGAAGCUAUAGGGAAAGAAAUCAAAGCUGCAGUGGCGACUGAAAACACAUACGAUACUGAAUCUGUGGAGAAUGGGUGUCUAGGCGACCUGAGAGCUAAAGAGCGCCCGUCUCGCUGGGCCAUUCAAGCUGCCAAAAGUCGUGUUUCGCAGUCAACCGUGAGGACAUCAGAUAUUUUUGACCGCAUGACAACGUUGAGGGAGGAAAUAAGAGAAGGGAAAGAAAACAUAACCCAUCGCAAGGCAUUACUCAAACAGCGACGAUCGGAAAUAGAAUCCGCUACAUAUAAAGUAACAGAUCGACGAGCUUCAAUGUUGGCUACAGUACAAGAUAGUAUAAAGAGAACCGAGCACUUAUGGAAUAGCUUGCAUAAUAAAACUGCACAGUCUCGAGUUUUCCUGUGUCGCGAAGUUGCGAAUCUUUAUCGCUUACGCCAGAGGACGAGACGGAAAAAUGGCGAGCUCAUUGCCGUUUACACGAUCGGAGGAGUUAGCAUUGUGGAUCUCAGAGACCUGAACAGCGCAAACCAUCUUCUCAUUACCACAUCCCUUACCUACAUCUCCCACCUCCUUGUCCUCGUUUCUCAUUACCUCUCCCUACGGUUACCUGCAGAGAUAACGCUGCCCCAUCGAAAUUACCCUCUACCCACUAUAUUUCCGCCGUCAUCUUCAUAUUUAUCACAAGAAACAACAUUUCCUGGCGCAUCACCUUCUCAAUCAUCGUCUUCGAGUCCCACAGCUUCUCGAACUACCGAUACUAGGCCACCUCCACGCCCACGGCCCCUUUAUGUCAACAAAUCUCUACCAAAACUUGCACAUGAAGACCCUGCGACCUAUGGGUUGUUCCUUGAAGGAGUUGCACUUCUAGCUUGGAACAUUUAUUGGCUUUGUCGUACUCAAGGACUACAUGUUGGUGUUGAUUCCUGGGAGGAUGUGUAUGAUAUCGGUCGUAACCUAUGGAUGCUUCUCGUUGCCCAGCCGUCUCAUGUGUCCGCGAUAAGCAGAGUGCUCUCAAACCGGGAUACCCAGGCAAAACUUCACAGUUCGAAUAAGGAUGACUCCAAACCAACCAUCCAACGAAACAGGCCCUCGCCCAUGCUUGGCCAUUAUUCUCAUGGAACGGCGCACUCAUUCCUUGGAAGCGCAGAAGGGACGGAGUUUAUGAGAAAGUGGAAACAGCCUUCGACAGCGAAGGUCGUUGACAAGCUGAAAUCCGUUCUCCUGGGAGAAAUGACGAGCGCAGAGUGGGAGUUACUCGACAAAACAGAAUGGGAGGACGAAUAUUCCCAAAGGCAUAUUCUCCCCGAAGGAGAAGAGGAGCCCGCUCCAGCGGCUACAAAAUCCCCUUCAGGUGUGAUGGAUGGCGUUCUCAGUGACGCCGCGAAUUCUCUCGCAGCUAAACCGCUAGAUGAUGAUAACCAUGGCAAUGAGGACACGACAAAUAACCACCGACUAAAAGGGACACGCGGAUGGACCAAGUUAAAGAAUAG
rnacentral:sRNA from 1 species